rnacentral:rRNA from 1 species
CGCAAGCCUGACGGAGCAACGCCGCGUGAGGGAUGAAGGCCUCUGGGCUGUAAACCUCUUUUCUCAAGGAAGAAGAUCUGACGGUACUUGAGGAAUAAGCCACGGCUAAUUCCGUGCCAGCAGCCGCGGUAAUACGGGAGUGGCAAGCGUUAUCCGGAAUUAUUGGGCGUAAAGCGUCCGCAGGCGGCCUUGAAAGUCUGUCGUUAAAGCGUGGAGCUUAACUCCAUUUCGGCGGUGGAAACUACAAGACUAGAGUGUGGUAGGGGCAGAGGGAAUUCCCGGUGUAGCGGUGAAAUGCGUAGAUAUCGGGAAGAACACCAGUGGCGAAGGCGCUCUGCUGGGCCAUAACUGACGCUCAUGGACGAAAGCCAGGGGAGCGAAAG